rnacentral:rRNA from 1 species
UCCGGUUGAUCCCGCCGGACCUGACUGCUAUCGGAUUGAUACUAAGCCAUGCGAGUCAUUGUAGCAAUACAAGGCAUACGGCUCAGUAACGCGUAGUCAACCUAACCUAUGGACGGGAAUAACCUCGGGAAACUGAGAAUAAUGCCCGAUAGAACACUAUACCUGGAAUGGUUUGUGUUUCAAAUGAUUUAUCGCCAUAGGAUGGGACUGCGGCCUAUCAGUUUGUUGGUGAGGUAAUGGCCCACCAAGACUAUUACAGGUACGGGCUCUGAGAGGAGUAGCCCGGAGAUGGGUACUGAGACACGGACCCAGGCCCUAUGGGGCGCAGCAGGCGAGAAAACUUUGCAAUGUGCGAAAGCACGACAAGGUUAAUCCGAGUGAUUUGUGCUAAACGAAUCUUUUGUUAGUCCUAGAAACACUAACGAAUAAGGGGUGGGCAAGUUCUGGUGUCAGCCGCCGCGGUAAAACCAGCACCUCAAGUGGUCAGGAUGAUUAUUGGGCCUAAAGCAUCCGUAGCCGGCUCUGUAAGUUUUCGGUUAAAUCUGUACGCUUAACGUACAGGCUGCCGGGAAUACUGCAGAGCUAGGGAGUGGGAGAGGUAGACGGUACUCGGUAGGAAGUGGUAAAAUGCUUUGAUCUAUCGAUGACCACCUGUGGCGAAGGCGGUCUACCAGAACACGUCCGACGGUGAGGGAUGAAAGCUGGGGGAGCAAACCGGAUUAGAUACCCGGGUAGUCCCAGCUGUAAACUAUGCAAACUCAGUGAUGCAUUGGCUUGUGGCCAAUGCAGUGCUGCAGGGAAGCCGUUAAGUUUGCCGCCUGGGAAGUACGUACGCAAGUAUGAAACUUAAAGGAAUUGGCGGGGGAGCACCACAAGGGGUGAAGCCUGCGGUUCAAUUGGAUUCAACGCCA